CCGCUGGUCCGGGCCCCUCUGGCGAAAUCUACGGCGUUUUCGCGAUGUCGGACCAAUCCC
rfam:Rhizobium sp. 58 contig71, whole genome shotgun sequence.